rnacentral:rRNA from 1 species
GACGAACGCUGGCGGCGUGCCUAAUACAUGCAAGUUGAGCGCUGAAGGUUUGUACUUGUGCCGACUGGGUGAGCAGCGCACGGGUGAGUAACGCGUGUGGAAUCUGCCUUUGAUCGGGGUACAACAUUUGGAAACGAAUGCUAAUACGGCAUAAAAACUUUAAACACAAGUUUUAAGUGUGAAAUAUGCAAUUGCGUCACUCAAAGAUGAUCCCUCGUUGUAUUAGCUAGUUGGUGAGGUACAAGCUCAUCAAGGCGUUGAUACAUAGCCGAGCUGAGAGGGUGAUCGGCGACAUAGAGAGUGAGAGACGGCACAAACACCUAGGUGAGGCAGCAGCAGGGACUCUUGGGAGAUGGACGAAAGUCUGAACGAGCAACGCCGCGUGAGUGAAGCAGCGUUGCGGAUCGUAAAACGCUGUUCGGAGUGAAGAACGUUGGUGCCAGUGGAAAGCCCAGAAAGAGACGGAAACGUAAAAGAACGGGACGGAAAAAUAUG